UACGUAGGGUGCAAGCGUUGUCCGGAAUUAUUGGGCGUAAAGAGCUUGUAGGCGGUUUGUCGCGUCUGCUGUGAAAUUUCGGGGCUCAACCCCGAACUUGCAGUGGGUACGGGCAGACUAGAGUGUGGUAGGGGAGACUGGAAUUCCUGGUGUAGCGGUGAAAUGCGCAGAUAUCAGGAGGAACACCGGUGGCGAAGGCGGGUCUCUGGGCCGAUGACUGACGCUGAGGACGAAAGCGUGGGGAGCAACAGG
rnacentral:rRNA from 1 species